AAACAAAAAUAUUUAUAAUAUUAUUGUAAAUUAAAUAUAUUUAUCAACUUGGCAAAUGGAGAUUAAAAAAAAAAAAAUCAUUAAACAAUGACAUAUAUUACCAGUAAUUAGUAAUAUUGUAAAUUGUUAUUUAUGAGUAUAAAUUUUAUUCUGUGAACUAAAGUGUAUUUUUAUUCAAUUUUAAAAAUCGUUAUUAGUGUUUGUCAUUUGUUAAAUUGUUAAGUAUUAUAAAAACUAACAUCUAUCCGUUAAAAAGACCAUACCAACUGUCUCAAUAAUGUAAGUCAUAAAAUACUUACUCUACCAUCUUGUUGAUUCCAUCCGUGAAGAGGUUUAUUCCCAUGGUUCCCAAUAUCUUUGUUGAUUUUAUUAAAUCAUUUAUUUAUUUAUUUAUUUAUUUAUUUAUUUAUUUAUUUAUUUAUUUAUUUAUUUAUUUAUUUAUUUGAUUGUGUCCUUUAUUUUAAUUGAAUUGUAUUAUUUAUUUAUUUAAGCAGAUGAUAUUAUAUUAAUAUUGUGUAUAAAUUUGUUUGUAAAACUACUUGUAAUAUGUGUGGUCACAUAUUAUUAUGUACACUAAAUUAGUUAAAUCUUUUUUUUAAAUCAACUGCCUCUGAAUUCAACAGACACUUAUAAGAAUUUAAUCCCAAUUCUAAAUUUGAGACCAAUCUACUUACCAAUAUAGCUGCACCAAUUUCUUCAGAUAUUGUUUUCAUUAAAUUAAUGUUGGAAAUUUGGAAGUAUUUGUUCUCAGAAAUUUUUUUCUUUGGAAAUCCAAUUCUAAUAUAAUGUUAUUAUUAGUAGUAGCUAGUAUUCAUCAUGUAUUUAUUUAUUGUUUUAAUAUUGUCAAUUAGAAAACAAAAUAGGUACCUAAAUGUUUAUUAUUAAAUUAGCCAAUUUACAAAAUUUUUAAAUUAAUAUUAGAUUCAUAAAUCAAUGUUAUAGAAAAUCAGAAACUUAGGAUUUAGAGUGUAAUAUCCUUGAUUUGUUUAAAACAAUGAUUUUUUGUUAGAGCAAAAUUUAAAUGUAUCUAUAUUCUAUAUAUGGUAGACCA